CGCCGGUCUUGGCGAAGGUGUGCCUGAUCGGCUCGUAGCUGGUCACGUCGGGGAUCCGCCACGGUUCGGAACCGUUGGCGAUGGC
rnacentral:tRNA from 1 species